rnacentral:rRNA from 1 species
AUGACGAGUGGCGGACGGGUGAGUAAUGCUUGGGAACUUGCCUUUGCGAGGGGGAUAACAGUUGGAAACGACUGCUAAUACCGCAUAAUGUCUUCGGACCAAACGGGGCUUAGGCUCCGGCGCAAAGAGAGGCCCAAGUGAGAUUAGCUAGUUGGUAAGGUAACGGCUUACCAAGGCGACGAUCUCUAGCUGUUCUGAGAGGAAGAUCAGCCACACUGGGACUGAGACACGGCCCAGACUCCUACGGGAGGCAGCAGUGGGGAAUAUUGCACAAUGGGGGAAACCCUGAUGCAGCCAUGCCGCGUGUGUGAAGAAGGCCUUCGGGUUGUAAAGCACUUUCAGUUGUGAGGAAAAGUUAGUAGUUAAUACCUGCUAGCCGUGACGUUAACAACAGAAGAAGCACCGGCUAACUCCGUGCCAGCAGCCGCGGUAAUACGGAGGGUGCGAGCGUUAAUCGGAAUUACUGGGCGUAAAGCGCACGCAGGCGGUUUGUUAAGCUAGAUGUGAAAGCCCCGGGCUCAACCUGGGAUGGUCAUUUAGAACUGGCAGACUAGAGUCUUGGAGAGGGGAGUGGAAUUCCAGGUGUAGCGGUGAAAUGCGUAGAUAUCUGGAGGAACAUCAGUGGCGAAGGCGACUCCCUGGCCAAAGACUGACGCUCA